CAGUAGCCACGGUAAUACGUAGGGUGCAAGCGUUAAUCGGAAUUACUGGGCGUAAAGCGUGCGCAGGCGGUGUUGUAAGACUGAUGUGAAAUCCCCGGGCUCAACCUGGGAACUGCAUUGGUGACUGCAACGCUGGAGUGCGGCAGAGGGGGAUGGAAUUCCGCGUGCAGCGGUGAAAUGCGUAGAGAUCGGAAGGAACAUCUGUGGCGAAGGCGACUAUCUGGGCCAACACUGACACUGAGGCACGAAAGCGUGGGGAGCAAACAGGAUUAGAUACCCCCGUAGUCCCUGUCUCUUAUAC
rnacentral:rRNA from 1 species